rnacentral:sRNA from 1 species
CAGGUCAAAACGUGGUUUCAAAACAGAAGAGCAAAGUGGCGGAGAUUAAAACAGGAGUCUCCAUCAGUUGAGUCAUCUUCCCACAAUGACCAGGAGGAUAAAGUGUACUCUAGCUACUCUUCCAGGGGAAGCAGGGAACACAGCGGCGAUAACUUCUCGGACGACGCCGCUGAAGAGGAAGAGGAGGAGGACGAAGUUUUCGAUGACGUCUCGGACGAUGAAAUUGACGUAGUGGACGACACACAUCACCCUCUGUCCUGAUAGGACAACGGCGCCCCAGACCACUAAAACACUACCUUCGCCCCCCCCCCCAGCGGACAAGGCCCCCUUUCACCACAUAUCUCUUGCAACUCCAGGCUGGAAUCUUCUUAGGAAACCAGCCUUUGUAAUCAGCUUUCAAUUCUGAGCCCCACGGCGUGCUGGCAAAUUGACUUGUUUGGCUUCAGUUCGCCACAGGCCUUAUGUGUGGCAUUGCUCUGGAGAACCAAGUAGGGGCAAGGCCGUGCACUCCUGUGAGCUGUCACUUUAUACAAUGCACAAUGUAAAAUACAUUAUCUAUCUGGGACUCAUUAGGGAGGGGGGGUCACAAACUAUAACGAUUUCAGCGUUUUGGCAGAUGAUGCAAACACAAACCACUCAGAGCCACAAAAGCCUCGUUUGAUUAUACUAUACCUUGACUAUACAAGGUAGCUUUUUUUGACUCUAUAGAGCAUUCGCUGUCAACUAUAGAGGCCUCAAACGGACUCUAUAGAGCAUCCACUGUCAACUAUAGAGGCCUACAACGGACUAUAUAGAGCACACUGUCAACUAAAGAGGCCUACAACGGAUUAUGUUGAGAGUAUCCACUGUCAACUAAAGGGGCCUACAACAGACUAUAUAGAGCACACUGUCAACUAAAGAGGCCUACAACGGACUAUAUAGAAAAUCCACUAUCAACUAUAGGGGCCUACAACGAACUAUGAGGACUCUAUAGAGCACCCAUUGUCAACUAUAGAGGCCUAAAACGGACUCUAUAGAGCAUCCACUGUCAACUCUAGAGGCCUACAACGGACCAUGUUGAGAGUAUCAACUGUCAACUAGGCCUAUAAUAUAGAGGCAUACAACGGACUAUGUCGACUUAGAGGCUGCAACUAGAUCAAGAGCUGAUUUGGUUUCAAAACAUUUUCGACAGUUCUGAAAAAAAAAAUGGAUUUGAACAACAAAAUUGUACUCCUAGAGUCCUGACUCCUCGCGUUAUUCGAAAGUCUUUGCGUGUUUGUUGUAUAUAUUCUUGUAAAUUAAAUAAUUGUUGCUUCCAUAUAGUUUCGUUGACUUGAUUGCACAGUAAAAAAAAUGCGUUGAAAUGUUUUCUUUAGUAUGAUUUCUUGUAUGAUUAUUAAUAAAACAUGAGAAAUAUUUUGAUUAAAAAAACAA